rnacentral:rRNA from 1 species
GUGCCAGCAGCCGCGGUAAUACGUAGGGUGCGAGCGUUAAUCGGAAUUACUGGGCGUAAAGCGUGCGCAGGCGGUUUGCUAAGACCGAUGUGAAAUCCCCGGGCUCAACCUGGGAACUGCAUUGGUGACUGGCAGGCUAGAGUAUGGCAGAGGGGGGUAGAAUUCCACGUGUAGCAGUGAAAUGCGUAGAGAUGUGGAGGAAUACCGAUGGCGAAGGCAGCCCCCUGGGCCCAUUCUGACGCUCAUGCACGAAAGCUUGGGGAGCAAACAGGAUUAGUUCCCUCGGUAGUUCC